rnacentral:rRNA from 1 species
UACGUAGGGUGCGAGCGUUGUCCGGAAUUAUUGGGCGUAAAGAGCUCGUAGGCGGUCUGUCGCGUCGAUCGUGAAAAACUUGGGGGCUUAACCCUGAGCUUGCGGUCGAUACGGGCAUGACUGGAGUUCGGCAGGGGAGACUGGAAUUCCUGGUGUAGCGGUGAAAAUGCGCAGAUAUCAGGAGGAACACCGGUGGCGAAGGCGGGUCUCUGGGCCGAUACUGACGCUGAGGAGCGAAAAGCGUGGGGAGCGAACAGG